rnacentral:lncRNA from 1 species
ACUUUAUGUGUGGCGUCUCUCCGAACCCCCUCGACCGUCCGGACUUCUCCGACAAUGAACUUCUGCACUCAUCCACUGGGCCACCCCAAAGGCCCUUUGGGCCCCACUGUUAGCCGACCUUCUACAGCAACCAACUAUUUUCCAAACUUCUUCCAGACUUCAUCUGCAUCCGAGCUUCCCCGACAGCGUGAUUUCUAUGGUAACCAGACUCCAUCCAAGUUUUCACGAUG